AAAUUAACUUAAUCCUCAAUGGCCACCACAAAAGAAAUCAAAGAUGAGGAGAUCAUCCUCAAAACCAAUUCCUUCAUCAUUUCUCUUGCAAGAUUUGCAGUAAAAGUGCAUAAUCUGAGACAGAUCGCUCAUCUUGUAUUCAAGAAAGUAGUGAGGGUAACUAAAGAUAGUCGUUGAGGGAGCUAUCUAUGACAUAACUUUAGAAGCCAUCAAUUUUUAUGGGGUGGAACAAGUUUAUGAAGCUAAAGUUUGGGUCAAAAAAUUAACUUUAUACAAAGAGCUUCUUGAAUUUAACCUUGCAGUGGAGAUCAAUGAGGAUCCUGAUUACAUCAUUGAUCUUGCCAAAUUUGCAGUGCAACUAUAUAACCAGUGGCAGCUUUUCUCUUUCCACCGGUGUCUCGAACGAGAAGUCCCGAGCAAGUAUUCAGCAUUUCAUCAGUUUGCAAUCUAAGGCUUGUAAUUAUG